GGCAACGAGAUCACCCAGCUGGCCCGGCCCCUGCCUGUGGAGUAUCUCAUCAUAGACAUCACAACAACUUUCCCCAAGGAUCCAGUUUACACUUUUUCUAUUUCGCAAAAUCCAUUUCCUAUUGAAAACCGGGAUGUAUUGGGUGAGACACAGGACUUCCAUAGCUUGGCCACCUAUUUGUCUCAGAAUACCUCAUCUGUGUUCUUGGAUACCAUCUCAGAUUUCCACCUCUUGCUGUUCCUGGUCACCAAUGAAGUUAUGCCUCUGCAGGACAGCAUCAGCUUGCUGCUGGAGGCCGUGCGGACCAGAAAUGAGGAGCUCGCCCAGACAUGGAAGAGGUCUGAGCAGUGGGCCACCAUCGAGCAGCUGUGCAGUUCACGCCAUUCUCCUUCCUCAGCCUUCCUAGUAGCUGGGAUUACAGGUGCGCACCACCACCCCCAGGCACAGUUGGCGGGCAGCUCCCAGGUCUCCAUGAGUACGGCGCCGUCGGGGGCUCCACACACACGGCCACUGCAGCCAUGUGGGCCUGUCAGCACUGCACGUUCAUGAACCAGCCAGGCACAGGCCACUGCGAGAUGUGCAGCCUCCCCAGGACCUAGGGCGCCUGCCCUCUGCUGGCUAGGACCGGGCCCAGCCCAGCCCUUCCUGAAGCCAGAAGCGUUGCUGAGUGUGUUCC
rnacentral:lncRNA from 10 species